rnacentral:rRNA from 1 species
AUUGAACGCUGGCGGCAUGCCUAACACAUGCAAGUCGAGCGGAUGAAGGGAGCUUGCUCCUGGAUUCAGCGGCGGACGGGUGAGUAAUGCCUAGGAAUCUGCCUGGUAGUGGGGGAUAACGUCCGGAAACGGGCGCUAAUACCGCAUACGUCCUGAGGGAGAAAGUGGGGGAUCUUCGGACCUCACGCUAUCAGAUGAUCCUAGGUCGGAUUAGCUAGUUGGUGGGGUAAAGUCCUACCAAGGCGACGAUCCGUAACUGGUCUGAGAGGAUGAUCAGUCACACUGGAACUGAGACACGGUCCAGACUCCUACGGGAGGCAGCAGUGGGGAAUAUUGGACAAUGGGCGAAAGCCUGAUCCAGCCAUGCCGCGUGUGUGAAGAAGGUCUUCGGAUUGUAAAGCACUUUAAGUUGGGAGGAAGGGCAGUAAGUUAAUACCUUGCUGUUUUGACGUUACCAACAGAAUAAGCACCGGCUAACUUCGUG